UACGUAGGAGGCAAGCGUUAUCCGGAAUGACUGGGCGUAAAGGGUGCGUAGGUGGUUUGACAAGUUGGUAGCGUAACUCCGAGGCUUAACCUCGGCACUACUACCAAAACUGUUGGACUCGAGUGCAGGAGGGGCAAAUGGAAUUCCUAGUGUAGCGGUGGAAUGCGUAGAUAUUAGGAGGAACACCAGUGGCGAAGGCAGCUCACUGGACUGCAACUGACACUGAGGCUCGAAAGUGUGGGUAUCGAACAGG
rnacentral:rRNA from 1 species